rnacentral:tRNA from 1 species
GUGAGUAUAGCUCAGUGGUAGAGCACAUGCUUAGCAUGCACGAGGUCCUGGGUUCAAUCCCCAGCACCUCCA